GUGUUUGCUUUGGUAGCACACAUUCCAAAAUUGGAAUGAUACAUGAGGUUAGUGUGGUCUCUGUGCAAGGAUGACACACAAAUUCAUGAAGUGUUCCAUAUUUUU
rnacentral:snRNA from 1 species